GACGAACGCUGGCGGCGUGCUUAACACAUGCAAGUCGAACGAAGAGCGACGGAAGCUUGCUUCUCUCAAUCUUAGUGGCGAACGGGUGAGUAACGCGUAAUCAACCUGCCCUUCAGAGGGGGACAACAGUUGGAAACGACUGCUAAUACCGCAUACGAUCUAAUCUCGGCAUCGAGGAUGGAUGAAAGGUGGCCUCUACAUGUAAGCUAUCACUGAAGGAGGGGAUUGCGUCUGAUUAGCUAGUUGGAGGGGUAACGGCCCACCAAGGCGAUGAUCAGUAGCCGGUCUGAGAGGAUGAACGGCCACAUUGGGACUGAGACACGGCCCAGACUCCUACGGGAGGCAGCAGUGGGGAAUCUUCCGCAAUGGACGAAAGUCUGACGGAGCAACGCCGCGUGAGUGAUGACGGCCUUCGGGUUGUAAAGCUCUGUUAAUCGGGACGAAAGGCCUUCUUGCGAAUAGGGAGAAGGAUUGACGGUACCGGAAGAGAAAGCCACGGCUAACUACGUG
rnacentral:rRNA from 1 species